rnacentral:lncRNA from 1 species
UGGGUAGCAACUUGGACGGCAGCUGCAUUGAUUUUUUUUUUUUAACCUCACUAUCUUCCUGUAUUCCUCUCCCUUUACGGGAGAGUGUACUGUACUCGGCUGGGCUUUGGUCACAUCCUCUGUUGUGUGACCCUAUUCCUGUAGAGAUGUAGACAAACAUCUACUCUCCCUAGUUGGGGAAUCAAGGACAGACCAAGCUAAAACUUCAAGUACAAUAUUGAAGAGAUAUGGAGAGGUGGACAGCCUUGUCUUGUUCCUGAUUUUAGAGGAAUCACUUUGAGUUUCUUUCCAUUUAGUUUGAUGUUGGCUUCUGAUUUGCUCCAAGAGAAGAUUGCAUAGUCCCUCCAAGAAGGGGAUGUGGACAAGAACCCCUGACCAAAGUAGCCUUCAUCCAGUAGCUGUUUGAAGCAGAAACAGGCACCCACAGCUAAGCAACCGAACCAUACUACUGGAAUCCAGUUGUGGAGAGGGAGGAGGGAUGCGCAAAGGAGCCAAGACGGGGCUGGAGAAAUGCACUGAAACAGUGGACCUGACCUACUGAUAGCAUGGAGACCUUAGUCAUAAAGCUGGGGAAACAACAUUGGACGGAACCAAGCCUUCUGAAUGUGGGUGCCAGCUAGGAGGCCAAGACAGUUUAUGGGACCUCUAACAGUAGAGCCAGUCUUUAACCCUAGAGCACAAUGGACUUUGGGAGCCCAUUCCCUAUGGAGAGAUACUGUUGCAGCCCAGAUACAGCAAGGAGGGCCUAGGCUCUCCCCCAAAUGAUAUGACAGACUUUGAAGGUUCCUCGUGGAGGGCUUCACUAUCUCUGGGGAGGAAUUGGGGGGUG